GACGAACCGUGCGAACGUUGUUCGGAAUCACUGGGCUUAAAGGGCGCGUAGGUGGUCUGUCAAGUCGAGGGUGAAAUCUUUCGGCUCAACCGGAAAACUGCCUUCGAUACUGGCAGGCUAGAGGGAGGUAGGGGUUGCGGGAACUACCAGUGGAGCGGUGAAAUGCGUUGAUAUUGGUAGGAACGCCGGUGGCGAAAGCGCGCAACUGGACCUCUUCUGACACUGAUGCGCGAAAGCUAGGGGAGCAAACGGG
rnacentral:rRNA from 1 species